AGUAGGGAAUAUUGGGCAAUGGGCGAAAGCCUGACCCAGCCAUGCCGCGUGCAGGAUGACAGCCCUAUGGGUUGUAAACUGCUUUUAUUUGGGAAGAAACCUUUGGAUUUAUCUGAAGUUGACGGUACCUUAUGAAUAAGCACCGGCUAACUCCGUGCCAGCAGCCGCGGUAAUACGGAGGGUGCAAGUGUUAUCCGGAUUUACUGGGUUUAAAGGGUGCGUAGGCGGGAUAGCAAGUCAGUGGUGAAAUCCUACAGCUUAACUGUAGAACUGCCAUUGAAACUGCUUUUCUUGAGUAUAGUUGAGGUGGGCGGAAUGUAGCAUGUAGCGGUGAAAUGCUUAGAUAUGCUACAGAACGCCGAUUGCGAAGGCAGCUCACUAAACUAUUACUGACGCUGAGGCACGAAAGCGUGGGUAGCGAACAGGAUUAGAUACCCUGGUAGUCCACGCCCUAAACGAUGAUCACUCGACAUGUGCGAUAUACUGUACGUGUCCAAGCAAAAGCGUUAA
rnacentral:rRNA from 1 species